rnacentral:rRNA from 1 species
CCUACGGGAGGCAGCAGUGAGGAAUAUUGGUCAAUGGGCGCGAGCCUGAACCAGCCAAGUCGCGUGAGGGAGGACGGCCCUACGGGUUGUAAACCUCUUUUGCCGGGGAGCAACGGGCGUCACGUGUGGCGCCACUGAGAGUACCCGGAGAAAAAGCAUCGGCUAACUCCGUGCCAGCAGCCGCGGUAAUACGGAGGAUGCGAGCGUUAUCCGGAUUUAUUGGGUUGAAAGGGUGCGUAGGCGGUCUGUGAAGUCAGCGGUCAAAGCCCGGGGCCCAACCCCGGCCCGCCGUUGAAACUGGCAGUCUCGAGUUGGAGAGAAGUAUGCGGAAUGCGCGGUGUAGCGGUGAAAUGCAUAGAUAUCGCGCAGAACUCCGAUUGCGAAGGCAGCAUGCCGGCUCCACACUGACGCUGAGGCACGAAAGCGUGGGUAUCGAACAGGAUUAGAUACCCGAGUAGUC